rnacentral:Y_RNA from 1 species
GGCUGGUCCAAAGUUCGUGAGAUCUCAUAAUAAUUGCUUACAGUUGAUUACUGGUCGACCUAUUUGUCUACCCCUCUCACCACUGCGCUUGACUAGUCUUAA